CCCUUAGAUGUUCUGGGCCGCACGCGCGCUACACUGACGAAUGCAACGAGCUUAUAACCUUGGCCGAAAGGUCUGGGUAAUCUCCAAAUUUCGUCGUGAUGGGGAUAGAUUAUUGCAAUUAUUAAUCUUCAACGAGGAAUGCCUAGUAAGCGCAAGUCAUCAGCUUGCGUUGAUUACGUCCCUGACCUUUGUACACACCGCCCGUCGCUCCUACCGAUUGAAUGGUCCGGUGAAGCGUUCGGACCGUGGCCUUUGGACGGUUCGCCGUCUGUUGGCUGCGGGAAGUUCGUUAAACCUUAUCAUUUAGAGGAAGGAGAANUCGUAACA
rnacentral:rRNA from 1 species